rnacentral:rRNA from 1 species
AUUGAACGCUGGCGGCAUGCCUUACACAUGCAAGUCGAACGGUAACGCGGGGCAACCUGGCGACGAGUGGCGAACGGGUGAGUAAUGUAUCGGAACGUGCCCAGUUGUGGGGGAUAACUGCUCGAAAGAGUAGCUAAUACCGCAUACGACCUGAGGGUGAAAGCGGGGGAUCGCAAGACCUCGCGCAAUUGGAGCGGCCGAUAUCAGAUUAGGUAGUUGGUGGGGUAAAGGCUCACCAAGCCAACGAUCUGUAGCUGGUCUGAAAGGACGACCAGCCACACUGGGACUGAGACACGGCCCAGACUCCUACGGGAGGCAGCAGUGGGGAAUUUUGGACAAUGGACGCAAGUCUGAUCCAGCCAUGCCGCGUGCGGGAAGAAGGCCUUCGGGUUGUAAACCGCUUUUGUCAGGGAAGAAACGCUCUGGGUUAAUACCUCGGGGUAAUGACGGUACCUGAAGAAUAAGCACCGGCUAACUACGUGCCAGCCGCCGCGGUAACAC